AACAAAGAAUCUAUUUAUACUUAUAUUCAAUAUGGAACAGGAAAAUGCAGUAAAAAAUAAAAAUAAAAUUUGUAAUAUUUUUAUGUUCUGAAAUAAUAGAAGAUGAACAAAUAAUUUUGGAACAUGGAUAUGAUGAUAUAUAUUUAAAAGGGAU